GUGGGGAAUAUUGGACAAUGGGCGAAAGCCUGAUCCAGCCAUGCCGCGUGUGUGAAGAAGGUCUUCGGAUUGUAAAGCACUUUAUGUUGGGAGGAAGGGCAGUAAGUUAAUACCUUGCUGUUUUGACGUUACCGACAGAAUAAGCACCGGCUAACUUCGUGCCAGCAGCCGCGGUAAUACGAAGGGUGCAAGCGUUAAUCGGAAUUACUGGGCGUACAGCGCGCGUAAGUGGUUUUGUAAGUUGGAGGUGAAAUCCCCGGGCUCAACCUGGGAACUGCCUCCAAAACUGCAUGACUAGAGUACGGUAGAGGGUAGGGGAAUUUCCUGUGUAGCGGUGAAAUGCGUAGAUAUAGGAAGGAACACCAGUGGCGAAGGCGACUACCUGGACUGAUACUGACACUGAGGUGCGAAAGCGUGGGGAGCAAACAGGAUUAGAAACCCUUGUAGUCC
rnacentral:rRNA from 1 species